UCUCUGUUAACUCAGUUGGUUAGAGUGCGGACCUAAUAAGUCCGAAGUCACCAGUUCGAGCCUGGUACGGAGAA
rfam:Sphaeroforma arctica JP610 cont1.2931, whole genome shotgun sequence.